rnacentral:tRNA from 1 species
UAUAUUUAGGUGUAUGAUGCACAAGAGUUUUUGAUACUUUAGGGAGUAGUUUAAAUCUACUAGAUGUAA